rnacentral:misc_RNA from 1 species
AGUAUCAAUUAGACUUUACUUGCUAAAUUUCUAAACUUGUUGUGGUAACCUUUGAUGGUAACGAAAUUCUUCUGUGUGUGUGAAAUGUAUAAAAUAUAAAAAUAGAAAUGGACUAAAUAUAUUAAUAGAAUUAUUCAUUUUUAAAUAGCUCUACUUAAAAAACGGAAAGUUUAGGGUUAUUCAACCGUCCAGUUCAGCCAACAUCGUGCCCAUCUAUUUUCAGUCAGUACCCACAGACCAACAGGCAAUUCCUCAAAUAAGGGGUCCUUUCGAUUUUAUUGGUCAAUGGAUUCAGCAAACACCUUGGCUUCCAAUCCAAAUCAACGUGCCCGAUAUAUUUCAGAAUAUCGGAAACGGAAUAAAUCAAGUUGGCACGACGGUAUCUCAGUUUUCUCAAAAUGUUGGAAACGGGGUAUCGCAAUUUUCUCAGAAUGUCGGUAAUGGCUUAAGUCAGUUCUCACAAAAUAUAGGUAACGGCUUCACGACUUGGGCUCAAAACGUGCCGAUUUUAGAAAAUUUUAUUGACACUAAGAGAAAACCGGUAAUGACAACCAAUGGACAACAAAUAGGUGUACUGGUACCGAUAGAAUAUCCAGGUGGACAACAAUUGGUCUUGGCUAACGAGGCUUUUGAAGCUUUUCCAUAGUUGUUUGAAUUGUUUAGAAAAUAAAGUCUGAUUAUAUUAUUUUUUUAUUAUGGCGCGCUCAGACGAUUCGUGUAGGUACUUGACAAACAUUUGUAUAAAAAAAAUUGGUAUACAGGGUAUAUAGUGUGCAUAGGGCAUCUAUACCUGGAAUUUCUAAGACAUUUAUUAUAGUACCUACGCCGCACUCUCGCCGGACCCUGUAUGCCAAUAAAAAAUACUUGCCAAGUACACGAGUCGUCAGAAGGUUCAUUCUCACAGCAUCAGAAAACUGCCUAGAAUAGUUAACCGAAUUAAUAAUCUAUGUUUUUUGUUUACGACAUAUCUGUGACUUGGUGUAAUCAACUACAUUUGACAAGUUUCUGAGACUGGUUUGGAUGCUUGUGCGAACAAAUCUAGGGUCCGCCUUUGCAGAUACGGAGAUAUUUAUUUAAUAUUUAUUUAUUCUAUUUAUAUUUAAACUGUGUUUUUAAAAUUAAUAA